rnacentral:rRNA from 1 species
CAGGCUUAACACAUGCAAGUCGAGGGGCAGCAUUUCAGUUUGCUUGCAAACUGAAGAUGGCGACCGGCGCACGGGUGAGUAACACGUAUCCAACCUGCCGAUAACUCGGGGAUAGCCUUUCGAAAGAAAGAUUAAUAUCCGAUGGUAUAUUAAGAUCGCAUGAUUUUACUAUUAAAGAAUUUCGGUUAUCGAUGGGGAUGCGUUCCAUUAGUUUGUUGGCGGGGUAACGGCCCACCAAGACUACGAUGGAUAGGGGUUCUGAGAGGAAGGUCCCCCACAUUGGAACUGAGACACGGUCCAAACUCCUACGGGAGGCAGCAGUGAGGAAUAUUGGUCAAUGGACGAGAGUCUGAACCAGCCAAGUAGCGUGAAGGAUGACUGCCCUAUGGGUUGUAAACUUCUUUUAUACGGGAAUAAAGUGAGGCACGUGUGCCUUUUUGUAUGUACCGUAUGAAUAAGGAUCGGCUAACUCCGUGCCAGCAGCCGCGGUAAUACGGAGGAUCCGAGCGUUAUCCGGAUUUAUUGGGUUUAAAGGGAGCGUAGGCGGACGCUUAAGUCAGUUGUGAAAGUUUGCGGCUCAACCGUAAAAUUGCAGUUGAUACUGGGUGUCUUGAGUACAGUAGAGGCAGGCGGAAUUCGUGGUGUAGCGGUGAAAUGCUUAGAUAUCACGAAGAACUCCGAUUGCGAAGGCAGCUCACUAGACUGCAACUGACACUGAUGCUCGAAAGUGUGGGUAUCAAACAGGAUUAGAUACCCUGGUAGUCCACACAGUAAACGAUGAAUACUCGCUGUUUGCGAUAUACAGUAAGCGGCCAAGCGAAAGCAUUAAGUAUUCCACCUGGGGAGUACGCCGGCAACGGUGAAACUCAAAGGAAUUGACGGGGGCCCGCACAAACGGGAGAACAUGUGGUUUAAUUGGAUGAUACGAGAGGAACCUUUACCCGGGCUUAAAUUGCAUUUGAAUAAUCUGGAAACAGGUUAGCCACAAGGCAAAUGUGAAGGUGCUGCAUGAUUGUCGUCAGCUCGUGCCGUGAGGUGUCGGCUUAAGUGCCAUAACGAGCGCAACCCUUAUCUUUAGUUACUAACAGGUCAUGUUGAAGACUCUAGAGAGACUGCCGUCGUAAGAUGUGAGGAAGGUGGGGAUGACGUCAAAUCAGCACGGCCCUUACGUCCGGGGCUACACACGUGUUACAAUGGGGGGUACAGAAGGCAGCUACCUGGCGACAGGAUGCUAAUCCCAAAAACCUCUCUCAGUUCGGAUCGAAGUCUGCAACCCGACUUCGUGAAGCUGGAUUCGCUAGUAAUCGCGCAUCAGCCAUGGCGCGGUGAAUACGUUCCCGGGCCUUGUACACACCGCCCGUCAAGCCAUGAAAGCCGGGGGUACCUGAAGUACGUAACCAAAAGGAGCGUCCUAGGGUAAAACUGGUAAUUGGGGC